rnacentral:rRNA from 1 species
CUCGUAGGUGGCCAACUAAGUCAUGCGUGAAAUCCCUCGGCUUAACCGGGGAACUGCGUCUGAUACUGGAUGGCUUGAAUCCGGGAGAGGGAUGCGGAAUUCCAGGUGUAGCGGUGAAAUGCGUAGAUAUCUGGAGGAACACCGGUGGCGAAGGCGGCAUCCUGGACCGGCAUUGACACUGAGGAGCGAAAGCCAGGGGAGCAAACGGGAUUAGAUACCCCGGUAGUCCUGGCCCUAAACGAUGAAUGCUUGGUGUGACGGGUAUCGAUCCCUGUCGUGCCGAAGCUAACGCAUUAAGCAUUCCGCCUGGGGAGUACGGUCGCAAGGCUGAA